GACCACACUGAUGAUGUUACAGUUUCUGUGAAUCGAGGGCUAGGGUCCCAUGCUGGCUCCGCUGCUCCUCUGGGUCACCAGGCUACAGUGAAGCUGUUGCCAGAAAUGGGAUCCUAUCAGUGUGGAGGGAUCUGCCUCUUAGUGCUCUCUAGGUGUUAUAGAAGAAUUCAUGACAGUUUGGUUCUUACUGCCAGGAUGAGAUGUUCACUUAUUGGGCAUAGGUCAGAGGAAGCAGUUUGGUGUCAAUCAAUAACUAAUAUCUGAAGAGUUUUGUGUCAAAGACAAAGAUUAAGAGUCUAAGUUCUACUUAUUUCCUAAUAAAAAAAGAUGAUUGUUAUUG